GACAGAGGAUGCAAGCGUUAUCCGGAAUGAUUGGGCGUAAAGCGUCUGUAGGUGGCUUUUUAAGUCUGCCGUCAAAUCCCAGGGCUUAACCGGGGAACUGCGUCUGAUACUGGAUGGCUAGAGUUUGGGAGAGGGAUGCGGAAUUCCAGGUGUAGCGGUGAAAUGAGUAGAUAUUGGAAAGAACACCGAUGGCGAAGGCACCUUACUGGGCUAUUACUAACACUCAGAGACGAAAGCUAGGGUAGCAAAUGGG
rnacentral:rRNA from 1 species